rnacentral:rRNA from 1 species
AGUGAACGCUGGCGGUAGGCCUAACACAUGCAAGUCGAACGGCAGCACAGUAAGAGCUUGCUCUUACGGGUGGCGAGUGGCGGACGGGUGAGGAAUACAUCGGAAUCUACUUUUUCGUGGGGGAUAACGUAGGGAAACUUACGCUAAUACCGCAUACGACCUACGGGUGAAAGCAGGGGAUCUUCGGACCUUUCGCGAUUGAAUGAGCCGAUGUCGGAUUAGCUAGUUGGCGGGGUAAAGGCCCACCAAGGCAACGAUCCGUAGCUGGUCUGAGAGGAUGAUCAGCCACACUGGAACUGAGACACGGUCCAGACUCCUACGGGAGGCAGCAGUGGGGAAUAUUGGACAAUGGGCGAAAGCCUGAUCCAGCCAUACCGCGUGGGUGAAGAAGGCCUUCGGGUUGUAAAGCCCUUUUGUUAGGAAAGAAAAGCAGCAGGUUAAUCCCCCGCUGUUCUGACGGUACCCAAAGAAUAAGCACCGGCUAACUUCGUG